AUUGAACGCUGGCGGCAGGCCUAACACAUGCAAGUCGAGCGAGCGGCGGACGGGUGAGUAAUGUAUGGGGACUGCCCGCUAGAGGGGGAUAACUACUGGAAACGGUGGCUAAUACCGCAUACUAUCGGAUAACCCAUAUGGGAUUAGCUAGUAGGUGGGGUAAAGGUCAACCUAGGCGACGAUCUCUAGCUGGUCUGAGAGGAUGAUCAUCCCCACUGGGAAUGAGAAACCGCCCCGACUCCCACGGAGGCAGCAGUUGGGAAUAUUGUCCAAUGGGCGGAAGCCUUAUGCAGCCCUGCCGGUGGUAUGAAGAAGGCCUUAGGGGUGUAAAGUACUUUCAGCGGGGAGGCGUUACCCGCAGAAGAAGCACCGGCUAACUCCGUGCCAGCAGCCGCGGUAAUAC
rnacentral:rRNA from 1 species